AGAAAACACGAUGCUAAAACAUCAGCAUUUAUCAGGUUGGCACAGACUGUCUGAACAUAAGUGACAGACCUAAAAACAUUUCAAAAUACCCUUCUCCACAUUUAAAUCUUCAAAACCUCACUGACAAGCCUUACAUCCAUCAUGCUAUCAAGUGAUUUUUGCCAUACACUAAGUCAAGUCACAGAGCACCACCUUUUUUUUUCAAAUAAGAAAAGGGAAACGUGAUUUAUGCUGCUCUCAGCAGUGAAAGGGUUCGCGUAUUUGUGAGCACCGAAUCUCUCCACGCCCUCCGGGAGGCCCACAGAGCAUCGCAGCCGCCCGGCUGGAGGCCGAGGGCGGCACAAAGGCGGCGGCAGCUCAGGCCGGCCUCCGCCGCCGCCCAGCGCCGUCCUCUGCGCCAGCACCCACCUCGGUACCGCUCCAGCACGUCCUCGUAGGCCUGGAGGUACUCCUGCUCCUCCGCGCACAGUGUCACCAGCUCUCCCUUUCAACAGACAAGGAGGCACGCCUGAGUGACUCAGCACUUUGGGGACCCAAGGAGGGCAGGAGUAUGGGAGCCAGGGCCAAAUCCACCUCUGCUGCUCUGCGGGCUCCCAAGCGGACUGCAACCCCUCCUCCUCCUUCCUGCUCCACCCACCUCUUCAAAGACCCAGAGGCCAGCCAGCAUCUCACAGCAGAAGCCUGAAGAAGCUCAAGGCUGUUGCCCAGAAACCCAGUCUAGAGGAUGACUGGCUGUUUGUUUUUCUGUAAAUCACAAAUCCCUCUAGGGGAAUUUUAAGGGGGUUGUUCACAGCCAGGGUGGCUGUAAUUUAGGCUGGUGCCCUCCAGUGCCCCUUGGAGGAAGAAAAAGCCUCAACUCUGCAUUAUUGAGGGAAGCAAAAGAAACUGAGACAGGAGUUAGAGUAGGGACUGGAGAGGGGAGGAGGUCCAGACCUCUGACUGCAGAAACAAACUAAAAACACCCACUGCUCUGGCCCUUCGCAAGAGAAUCUCUAAGGGCCUAAUCCAUCAGCCCUGUUACCAUUUCCAGGAGGGAAAUAAACUGUGGUGGGGAUAGAGGAAAGAGGACCCCACAGGCACUGCAGGGUUAAAGGGCUGAGUUCCACAGUGUUCUCAGCUUUCAUCUGGGUAAAACAAGCCAACACUUCUGGUUAGGCUUUUACAGCCAAUGCAAGGGGAUACCGGGUAACAGAACAGAAGCUCUGGGCCCUCCCAUGCAUUAAUUAAUCAGGAAUGCACAAUGGUAAACCCUCACAGGCCGUUGGACAGAUGAUGCCAGCAGAGAUGUACAUUACAAAAGAGAGACCAAGCUGCUGGACUCUAUGAUGCAAUCCCGUGUACCAAACACCAUGUAUUUAUUCAAGGUAAACUUGUGCAGCUCCAUGCCCUAAACAAAAAUGAAAAGGAAGCUGCUUUCUCUUGGCUUCCAACAAAUACUGGAGGAAUCACUAGGUUAGUGCUCUCCAGUAGCUGUGCAUGUAAAUAAGUGUUUCUAAAUAGUUCCACAAAUUUUAAAUAUAUCAAUUUAUCCAACCAGAAAACAGAGCCAAACAGCUUAGUCACCAGCAAGGAAACUGCUCUAGCGGUAAAAGGAGACAGAAGUAAACAUAGUCAUCUUCCUCCCCCCACCUGGAGGACAAAUCUCCACCUAGGGAAACUGCCCACCAAAAGGCCUCAGAAAAUACAGAAGUGGAUUUCCACGACUGUGGUCCCCACUUCAUCCCCUCCCCAA